UGGUACUUGUACCGACUGGAUGAGCAGCGAACGGGUGAGUAACGCGUGGGGAAUCUGCCUUUGAGCGGGGGACAACAUUUGGAAACGAAUGCUAAUACCGCAUAAAAACUUUAAACACAAGUUUUAAGUUUGAAAGAUGCAAUUGCAUCACUCAAAGAUGAUCCCGCGUUGUAUUAGCUAGUUGGUGAGGUAAAGGCUCACCAAGGCGAUGAUACAUAGCCGACCUGAGAGGGUGAUCGGCCACAUUGGGACUGAGACACGGCCCAAACUCCUACGGGAGGCAGCAGUAGGGAAUCUUCGGCAAUGGACGAAAGUCUGACCGAGCAACGCCGCGUGAGUGAAGAAGGUUUUCGGAUCGUAAAACUCUGUUGGUAGAGAAGAACGUUGGUGAGAGUGGAAAGCUCAUCAAGUGACGGUAACUACCCAGAAAGGGACGGCUAACUACGUGCCAGCAGCCGCGGUAAUACGUAGGUCCCGAGCGUUGUCCGGAUUUAUUGGGCGUAAAGCGAGCGCAGGUGGUUUAUUAAGUCUGGUGUAAAAGGCAGUGGCUCAACCAUUGUAUGCAUUGGAAACUGGUAGACUUGAGUGCAGGAGAGGAGAGUGG
rnacentral:rRNA from 1 species